rnacentral:rRNA from 1 species
AUUGAACGCUGGCGGCAGGCUUAACACAUGCAAGUCGAGCGAGUGGCGGACGGGUGAGUAAUGUCUGGGAAACUGCCUGAUGGAGGGGGAUAACUACUGGAAACGGUAGCUCAUACCGCAUACCCUCGGAUGUGCCCAGCUGGGAUUAGCUAGUAGGUGGGGUAAAGGCUCCCCUAGGCGACGAUCCCUAGCUGGUAUGAGAGGAUGACCAGCCACACUGGAACUGAGACACGGUCCAGACUCCUACGGGAGGCAGCAGGGGGGAAUAUUUCACAAUGGGCGCAAGCCUGAUGCAGCCAUGCCGAGUGUAUGAAGAAGGCCUUCGGGGUGUAAAGUACUUUCAGCGGUGAGGCGUUACCCGCAGAAGAAGCACCGGCUAACUCCGUGCCAGCAGCCGCGGUAAUAC